rnacentral:rRNA from 1 species
GUAGGGAAUCUUCCACAAUGGACGAAAGUCUGAUGGAGCAACGCCGCGUGAGUGAAGAAGGUCUUCGGAUCGUAAAACUCUGUUGUUAGAGAAGAACGUGCAUGAUAGUAACUGAUCAUGUAAUGACGGUAUCUAACCAGAAAGCCACGGCUAACUACGUGCCAGCAGCCGCGGUAAUACGUAGGUGGCAAGCGUUGUCCGGAUUUAUUGGGCGUAAAGCGCGCGCAGGCGGGAUAUCAAGUCUGUCUUAAAAGUGCGAGGCUCAACCUCGUGAGGGGACAGAAACUGGUAUUCUUGAGUGCAGGAGAGGAAAGGGGAAUUCCCAGUGUAGCGGUGAAAUGCGUAGAUAUUGGGAGGAACACCAGUGGCGAAGGCGACUUGCUGGCCAGCAACUGACGCUGAGGCGCGAAAGCCAGGGGAGCAAACGGGAUUAGAUACCGGGUAGUCC